UACGUAGGGGGCAAGCGUUAUCCGGAUUUACUGGGUGUAAAGGGAGCGUAGACGGCUAAGCAAGUCUGAAGUGAAAUCCCGGGGCUCAACCCCGGAACUGCUUUGGAAACUGUCUGGCUGGAGUGCAGGAGAGGUAAGUGGAAUUCCUAGUGUAGCGGUGAAAUGCGUAGAUAUUAGGAGGAACACCAGCGGCGAAGGCGGCUUACUGGACUGUAACUGACGUUGAGGCUCGAAGGCGUGGGGAGCAAAC
rnacentral:rRNA from 1 species